rnacentral:lncRNA from 10 species
ACCAUGCUAUAGCACUCCAGCCUGGGUGACAAGAGCCAAACUCCAUCUCAAAAAAAAAAAAAAAAACAAAAAAAACGAGAAAGGUGAGACCUUUAAGAGAUGAUAGGAGCCCCUCUCCCUCUCCCUCUCCCUCUCCCUCUCCCUCUCCGGUCUCCCUCUCCCUCUGCCUCUCUUUCCACGGUCUCCCUCUCAUGCCGAGCCGAAGCUGGACUGUGCUGCUGCCAUCUCGGCUCACUGCAACCUCCCUGCCUGAUUCUCCUGCCUCAGCCUGCCGAGUGCCUGCGAUUGCAGGCACGCGCCGCCACGCCUGACGGGUUUUCGUAUUUUUUUGGUGGAGAUGGGGUUUCGCUGUGUUGGCCGGGCUGGUCUCCAGCUCCUGACCGCAAGUGAUCCGCCAGCCUCGGCCUCCCGAGGUGCCGGGAUUGCAGACGGAGUCUCGUUAACUCAGUGCUCAAUGGUGCCCAGGCUGGAGUGCAGUGGCGUGAUCUCGGCUACAACCUCCACCUCCCAGCCGCCUGCCUUGGCCCCCCCAGAGUGCCGAGAUUGCAGCCUCUGCCCGGCCGCUACCCCAUCUGUGAAGUGAGGUGCGUCUCUGCCUGGCCGCGCAUCGUCUGGGAUGUGAGGAGCCCCUCUGCCUGGCUGCCCAGUCUGGAGAGUGAGGAGCGUCUCUGCCCCACCGCCAUCCCACCUAGGAGGUGAGGAGCGCCUCUUCCCGGCCACCAUCCCAUCUAGGAAGUGGGGAGCGUCUCUGCCCGGCCGCCCAUCGUCUGAGAUGUGGGGAGCGCCUCUGCCCCGCCGCCCCGUCUGGGAUGUGAGGAGCGCCUCGGCCCGGCCGCGACCCCGUCUGGGAGGUGAGGAGCGUCUCUGCCCGGCCGCCCCGUCUGAGAAGUGAGGAGACCCUCCACCUGGCAACUGCCCCAUCUGAGAAGUGAGGAGCCCCUCCGCCCGGCUGCCACCCCGUCUGGGAAGUGAGGAGCGUCUCCGCCCGGCAGCCACCCCGUCCGGAAGGGAGGUGGGGGUCAACCCCCGCCAGGCCAGCCGCCCCGUCCGGGAGGGAGGUGGGGGGUCAGCCCCCCACCCGGCCAGCCGCCCCGUCCGGGAGGGAGGUGGGGGGGUCAGCCCCCCGCCCGGCCAGCCACCCCGUCCGGGAGGUGAGGGGCGCCUCUGCCCGGCCACCCCUACUGGAAGUGAGGAGCCCCUCUGCCCGGCCAGCCGCCCCGUCCGGGAGGGAGGUGGGGGGGUCAGCCCCCCGCCCGGCCAGCCGCCCUGUCCGGGAGGGAGGUGGGGGGGUCAGCCCCCUGCCUGGCCAGCCGCCCCGUCUGGGAGGGAGGUGGGGGGGUCAGCCCCCCGCCCAGCCAGCCGCCCUGUCUGGGAGGUGAGGGGCGCCUCUGCCCGGCCGCCCCUACUGGGAAGUGAGGAGCCCCUCUGCCCGGCCAGCCGCCCCAUCCGGGAGGGAGGUGAGGGGGUCAGCCCCCCGCCCAGCCAGCCGCCCUGUCUGGGAGGUGAGGGGCGCCUCUGCCCGGCCGCCCCUACUGGGAAGUGAGGAGCCCCUCUGCCCGGCCAGCCGCCCCGUCCAGGAGGGAGGUGGGGGGGUCAGCCCCCCGCCCGGCCAGCCGCCCCGUCCAGGAGGGAGGUGGGGGGGUCAGCCCCCCGCCAGGCGAGACGCCUCGUCCGGGAGGGAGGUGGGGGGUCAGCCCCCUGCCCGGCCAGCCGCCCCGUCCGGGAGGUGAGGGGCGCCUCUGCCCAGCUGCCCCUACUGGGAAGUGAGGAGCCACUCUGCCCGGCCACCACCCCGUCUGGGAGGUGUACCCAACAGCUCAUUGAGAACGGGCCAUGAUGACAAUGGCGGUUUUGUGGAAUAGAAAAGGGGGAAAGGUGGGGAAAAGAUUGAGAAAUCGGAUGGUUGCUGUGUCUGUGUAGAAAGAAGUAGACAUGGGAGACUUUUCAUUUCGUUCUGUACUAAGAAAAAUUCUUCUGCCUUGGGAUCCUGUUGAUCUAUGACCUUACCCCCAACCCUGUGCUCUCUGAAACAUGUGCUGUGUCCACUCAGGGUUAAAUGGAUUAAGGG